rnacentral:tRNA from 1 species
GUCAAUGUGGUGUAGUGGUUUCAGUGUUUGACUGCAACUCUGGAAACCAGGGUUUGAUUCCCAGCUUGGCCA